CUAACUCAAAUUAGUAUGGAGUUGGAACGUUUUCCGCUAGGGGCGCUGUUUGAACUGCAUACAAAUUUGAGUUA
rnacentral:pre_miRNA from 1 species